GCCCGUGUAGUGUAGAUGGUUAUCACUGUGGAUUCAUAGAAACUCGUUUCUGAGAAACCCGCCAACCCGAGUUCGAGUCUCGGCACAGGCA